rnacentral:rRNA from 1 species
UACGGAGGGUGCAAACGUUGCUCGGAAUCAUUGGGCGUAAAGCGCACGUAGGUGGCCUGUUAAGUCGGGUGUGAAAUCCCUGGGCUCAGCCCAGGAAGUGCACUCGAAACUGGCAGGCUUGAGUACUGAAGAGGGUCGCGGAAUUCCCGGUGUAGAGGUGAAAUUCGUAGAUAUCGGGAGGAACACCAGUGGCGAAGGCGGCGACCUGGGCAGAUACUGACACUGAGGUGCGAAAGCGUGGGGAGCAAACAGG